rnacentral:tRNA from 1 species
GCCGGGGUAGCUCAGUUGGUAGAGCAGCGCACUCGUAAUGCGCAGGUCCGGGGUUCGAGUCCCCGCUCCGGCU